AGAGUUUGAUCAUGGCUCAGGACGAACGCUGGCGGCGUGCCUAAUACAUGCAAGUCGAACGAACUCUGGUAUUGAUUGGUGCUUGCAUCAUGAUUUACAUUUGAGUGAGUGGCGAACUGGUGAGUAACACGUGGGAAACCUGCCCAGAAGCGGGGGAUAACACCUGGAAACAGAUGCUAAUACCGCAUAACAACUUGGACCGCAUGGUCCGAGUUUGAAAGAUGGCUUCGGCUAUCACUUUUGGAUGGUCCCGCGGCGUAUUAGCUAGAUGGUGGGGUAACGGCUCACCAUGGCAAUGAUACGUAGCCGACCUGAGAGGGUAAUCGGCCACAUUGGGACUGAGACACGGCCCAAACUCCUACGGGAGGCAGCAGUAGGGAAUCUUCCACAAUGGACGAAAGUCUGAUGGAGCAACGCCGCGUGAGUGAAGAAGGGUUUCGGCUCGUAAAACUCUGUUGUUAAAGAAGAACAUAUCUGAGAGUAACUGUUCAGGUAUUGACGGUAUUUAACCAGAAAGCCACGGCUAACUACGUGCCAGCAGCCGCGGUAAUACGUAGGUGGCAAGCGUUGUCCGGAUUUAUUGGGCGUAAAGCGAGCGCAGGCGGUUUUUUAAGUCUGAUGUGAAAGCCUUCGGCUCAACCGAAGAAGUGCAUCGGAAACUGGGAAACUUGAGUGCAGAAGAGGACAGUGGAACUCCAUGUGUAGCGGUGAAAUGCGUAGAUAUAUGGAAGAACACCAGUGGCGAAGGCGGCUGUCUGGUCUGUAACUGACGCUGAGGCUCGAAAGUAUGGGUAGCAAACAGGAUUAGAUACCCUGGUAGUCCAUACCGUAAACGAUGAAUGCUAAGUGUUGGAGGGUUUCCGCCCUUCAGUGCUGCAGCUAACGCAUUAAGCAUUCCGCCUGGGGAGUACGGCCGCAAGGCUGAAACUCAAAGGAAUUGACGGGGGCCCGCACAAGCGGUGGAGCAUGUGGUUUAAUUCGAAGCUACGCGAAGAACCUUACCAGGUCUUGACAUACUAUGCAAAUCUAAGAGAUUAGACGUUCCCUUCGGGGACAUGGAUACAGGUGGUGCAUGGUUGUCGUCAGCUCGUGUCGUGAGAUGUUGGGUUAAGUCCCGCAACGAGCGCAACCCUUAUUAUCAGUUGCCAGCAUUAAGUUGGGCACUCUGGUGAGACUGCCGGUGACAAACCGGAGGAAGGUGGGGAUGACGUCAAAUCAUCAUGCCCCUUAUGACCUGGGCUACACACGUGCUACAAUGGAUGGUACAACGAGUUGCGAACUCGCGAGAGUAAGCUAAUCUCUUAAAGCCAUUCUCAGUUCGGAUUGUAGGCUGCAACUCGCCUACAUGAAGUCGGAAUCGCUAGUAAUCGCGGAUCAGCAUGCCGCGGUGAAUACGUUCCCGGGCCUUGUACACACCGCCCGUCACACCAUGAGAGUUUGUAACACCCAAAGUCGGUGGGGUAACCUUUUAGGAACCAGCCGCCUAAGGUGGGACAGAUGAUUAGGGUGAAGUCGUAACAAGGUAGC
rnacentral:rRNA from 2 species